rnacentral:misc_RNA from 1 species
GAUGAAGAACGCAGCGAAAUGCGAUAAGUAAUGUGAAUUGCAGAAUUCAGUGAACCAUCGAAUCUUUGAACGCACAUUGCGCCCCCUGGUACCCCGGGGGGCAUGCCUGUCCGAGCGUCAUAUGUCCCGUCGGACCCCCAGUUGGGUCUGGAGUUGGGUCCCCGUGUCGCCCCUAACCCCGGAGGUGCGGGCCCGAAAUGAAACCUCGAGGUGGAGCCGUCGGACGGCGCCUAGCGACCAAGGCCUGAAGCCAUCGCUGGGGCCCGUACGGCGGUCGAUCCGCCCCCCAUGGCCGACAGACCCUCGGCUGUGGAACCCAGAUCAAGUGACUGACCUCGGAUCAGGUAGGGAUACCCGCUGAACUUAAGCAUAUCAAUAAGCGGAGGA